UGCACACACGUAGCACUUCUCCACUGUCAGAAUCUACAGCACUCCUCCAGCUCACUUGGCACCACCUAUUCCAUGAAGCAAAGCUUUCACCUUCAGCAAAAACAAAAACACAGAACCACCAAAACCACUGGAGGAAGGAGGGCCUUAAAGGGUUAGAGCAGUCACCUGAAAAACUUGCAGGCUACUGACAUAAAUUCUUUUUCAGAGACUUCUCUUAUUUUCCUCGCUGGGAACCAAGAAGCAUCAAAAAGAGAAGCUGGGAACAGGAUUAGGCUCUUUUUCCACUUAGUCAAACUGAAGCUUCUGGUUGAAAGAAGAAACAUCCUGUCAUUCAUACCUGUACAGUGUGAACAUAAUGGGCUAUGGAUUUCUGGCUGGUGAGAAAAGAGAAUUGCUGAAACACAAAAGCAGAACCGAAGUGUAGCAGUGUGACAACAGUACAAUGACCAGGCCGACCUUGGUACUCAGGCCACAUAUCACAACAGGCAAGUCUGUUUAAUUAUUACUA